AGGUAUGGGAGCUACAUCUGAUAGUCUCAGAGGUUGACAUAGACUAGCAGGGGAAUAAAUGGGAGUGGAAGUGGGGUUUAGCUGGCCUUGACCCCUGUCCAGGGUCUGUAGAGGCAUGUCUGCAAGAGCAGGAGAUGGAGGCCUAAGGAUUGGGGGUACUGGCCUUCUGAUAUCUGUGGAUCAGUCAGCAUUGUCCAGGGUAGACCAAAGGUCAGGGCCAGGGGGUCCUGGGAUGGAAAGUCUGGCAGGUGAGAAUACCUUGGCUUGGGCACGUGGGGUCCCUAUCCUGGGGGUCGUCCAGGGGUGCCAAGCUUCAUGGCUCUGUGAGACCAGUGCCUUCUGGAACAGCCUUUUGGUCUCAGUUGUACACAUAGGAGAGCAGUGCCAGGCUCCUGGGUUCUUUUAUCACCUGCCCUAGGGUGUCAUCCUGGGUCUUAAGACUAUUAUUGCACUCUGGAGUCUGGGGCCCUGCUGUUAGGGUGCUCUAUGUAUGCCUCCCUCAGCAGGGCUUUGGAACUUGGAAGAGAUUGAGAGGCAGAGUCAGCCCCUGGGACAGAAUAGGUAAUAGCCAGUUCCGGGGGCCACCCAAGGACAAGUGAGUCAGGGGCCCUGUAGGGCUCAUUCUGCCUUUUGCAACUUUCUAACUAGGAGCGGAAGCUGUGUGCCCAUCCUCGGCUGGAGAUUUACCAGCAAGACCAGAUCCAUUUCAUGUGCCCACUAGCACGGCAGGGAGAUUUCUAUGUUCCUGAGGCGAAGAAGACAGAGCAGAAAUGGCGGGGGCUUGCAGAGGCCAUUGAUGCCCAGGAGCUGACACGAUGAGUGACACGAUGAGUUCCGUAAGCUUGGAGGUGAGCCCUGGCAGCCGGGAGACUUCAGUUGCCACACUGUCACCGGGGGCGAGCAGCCGUGGCUGGGAUGAUGGUGACACCCGCAGUGAGCACAGUUACAGCGAGUCAGGUGCCAGCGGCUCCUCUUUUGAGGAGCUGGACCUGGAGGGCGAGGGGCACUCGGGGGAGCCACAGCUGGACCCUGAGACUGAGCCCCUGGGGAGUACCAAGUGGCCGUGGCAGCCCAGUACCCCUGAGAAGGGCAAGGAGUAAUCUGUGGCCUGCACCCUCCUGCAGUGCCAUUGCUGAGGAACUGAGCAGACUCUCCAGCACUCUCCAGCCCUCUCCCUCCUUCUCCUGGGGGAGGAGGGGUUCCUGAGGGACCUGACUUCCCCUGUACCAGGCCUCUUGCUAAGCCUUCUCCUCACUGCUUUUUUGGCUCCCAGGGCCAAAGAAGUCAGGGACUGUUUUCUGCACCAGCCCCCAGGGCUGCUGCCCCUGUUGUGUCUUUUUUUCAGACUCACAUUGGAGCUUCCAGGACCCAGAAUAAAGCCAAUGAUUUACUUGUUUAA